UACAGAGGUCUCAAGCGUUGUUCGGAUUCAUUGGGCGUAAAGGGUGUGUAGGUGGCGCGCUAAGUCGGGUGUGAAAUUUCGGAGCUUAACUCCGAAACUGCAUUCGAUACUGGCGUGCUUUGAGGACUGGAGAGGAGACUGGAAUUUACGGUGUAGCAGUGAAAUGCGUAGAUAUCGUAAGGAAGACCAGUGGCGAAGGCGGGUCUCUGGACAGUUCCUGACACUGAGACACGAAGGCCCAGGGGAGCAAACGGG
rnacentral:rRNA from 1 species